UAGGGAGACCUAAUCCAUUUAGAAAUGUUAAGGAAAUUACCAUAACAACCUAAAUUGGUCUAGCCUAGGUCGGUCGAGAUUGGGGAAAUCUUUCAAAGUAUUAUUUGGCUUAGUUCAAACUAAAAAACCUAUUGGAAAACAACAGCAACUAACAAAAGUUAGACUGCUGGAAUAAGUUCCAGUCAGAACCUUGAAAACUGCAUAAGAGAAAGAGUAAAAAAGCAGGCAGUCAUAACAGACUGCAAGUGGUCAAGCUAAUAAGGGC
rnacentral:misc_RNA from 1 species